rnacentral:rRNA from 1 species
AACGUACGCUGGCGGCACGCCUAACACAUGCAAGUCGAGCGAGGUAGCAAUACCUAGCGGCAGACGGGUGAGUAACAUGUGGGAAUCUGCCUUUUGGUUCGGAACAACACGGGGAAACCUGUGCUAAUACCGGAUAAGUCCUAACGGAGAAAGUUUUAAUGCCAAAAGAUGAGCCCGCAUUUGAUUAGCUAGUUGGUAAGGUAAAAGCUUACCAAGGCGACAAUCAAUAGCUGAUUUGAGAGGAUGAUCAGCCACACUGGGACUGAGAUACGGCCCAGACUCCUACGGGAGGCAGCAGUGGGGAAUCUUGCACAAUGGGCGAAAGCCUGAUGCAGCGAUGCCGCGUGAGUGAAGAAGGCCUUUGGGUUGUAAAGCUCUUUUGUCGGGAAAGAUAAUGACUGUACCCGAAGAAUAAGGUCCGGCUAACUUCGUGCCAGCAGCCGCGGUAAUACGAAGGGACCUAGCGUAGUUCGGAAUUACUGGGCGUAAAGAGUAUGUAGGCGGCUAGAUAAGUUAAUUGUGAAAGCCCAAAGCUUAACUUUGGAAUUGCAAUUAAAACUAUUUAGCUGGAGUAUGAUAGAGGAAAGCGGAAUACAUAGUGUAGAGGUGAAAUUCGUAGAUAUUAUGUAGAACACCAGUUGCGAAGGCGGCUUUCUGGAUCAUUACUGACGCUGAGAUACGAAAGUAUGGGUAGCGAAGAGGAUUAGAUACCCUCGUAGUCCAUACCAUAAACGAUGAUUAUUAGAUGUGGGGAAUUAUUUCUCUGUAUCAUAGCUAACGCGUUAAAUAAUCCGCCUGGGGAGUACGACCGCAAGGUUAAAACUCAAAUGAAUUGACGGGGACCCGCACAAGCGGUGGAGCAUGUGGUUUAAUUCGAAGCAACGCGCAGAACCUUACCAACCCUUGACAUGUUCGUCGCGAGACUAAGAAAUUAGUCU